GAGCUCUUUGGUCGACUCUCCUUGUGACUUCUCUAUUUCUUCCCUGUGAUCUUCAACUAGUAGGGCCUCCAUUGGCUUUUUCUCUUUGAUGGUGGCAAGGAAGCAUUGCCAAGCAAGCAUCUAAUCUUCUCGAAUUUUUUCUACUCCACUUUGAGUCAAGGAAUUGAACCAGCAAUGGUAUGUGGAGAUGAUUGCUUAGAAUGCAUUGAGUCUUAAUCAUCCAAGAAUUGUAU
rnacentral:lncRNA from 1 species